rnacentral:rRNA from 1 species
CAGUAGCCGCGGUAAUACGGAGGGUGCAAGCGUUAAUCGGAAUUACUGGGCGUAAAGCGCACGCAGGCGGUUUGUUAAGUCAGAUGUGAAAUCCCCGGGCUCAACCUGGGAACUGCAUCUGAUACUGGCAAGCUUGAGUCUCGUAGAGGGGGGUAGAAUUCCAGGUGUAGCGGUGAAAUGCGUAGAGAUCUGGAGGAAUACCGGUGGCGAAGGCGGCCCCCUGGACGAAGACUGACGCUCAGGUGCGAAAGCGUGGGGAGCAAACAGGAUUAGAUACCCCGGUAGUCCCUGUCUCUUAUAC